rnacentral:sRNA from 1 species
CGGGCGUGGUGCCAUACGCCUGUAAUCCCAGCUGCUUGGGAGGCUGAGGCAGGAGGAUCACAAGUUCAAGGCCAGCCUCAGCAACUUAUUGAGGCCCUAAGCAAUUUAGCAAGAUCUUGUCUCUA